UCUAAUACCGGAUAACACCUGCCCGGGCAUCUGGGUGGGUUAAAAGCUCCGGCGGUGAAGGAUGAGCCCGCGGCCUAUCAGCUUGUUGGUGAGGUAGUGGCUCACCAAGGCGACGACGGG
rnacentral:rRNA from 1 species